CCUCACCCCCCUAGUGGAGUGGAAGCAGAAUCAUUGUCUACCUCCUACUGUGACACCUGGGCUGUCCUACACUGUCAAGACCAUUGACUUGGUUUUACCAAUGAGAAGAAAGAAGGCGAAAGGUGAUGUGCCUGACGUCAUGAUCCCGGGAGAGGAUGACCUGGAAUCUAUCACCAGGUCUCCGACAGCCCAGCCUCCUUCCGGUUCCUCCCCGCAGCUCCUCCCUGCACACUCUGGGCCUCUCCAUGAAGAAUGCGGUAGCAGGAGGCCAUCUCGAAAAAUCCCUCUACUAUGCUCAAGAAUAUCAGAGAGAGAAUCAGUUCACACUUGAUGCUUAUUGAUCAGCUUCUCCCUAAGAAAUUUAUGCCAGAAUGACAUAAUAAUAAUUCGAAAAAGGAAAAUGUGUAAGGAAAAUGAAUAUCUAAUUAUUAAAUAUUCAUAUUGUGUUCAUUUUAUUUUGAUCGUUAAUCUUUACUGUCUGUGUGCAAGAAAAAUUAGGGCAAAGAUCAUUCGAAGAAAGACAAUUAUUUUAGAAAUUAUCCUAACGUCAAAUGAAGAUGGUCUGAAAGAAGGAAGUGACAGAAAAUAAAAAGGAAGGUGUUUUUUUUUAGAAAACA
rnacentral:lncRNA from 1 species